AAGGUGGUAAGAAAAUUCUGUGACUGUUUCUGUUCCUUCCUGGUAGGUGGCGACACAGCAGUCUUGCUGCUGAUUGUCCAGAAAAUGGCAGAAGAGAGCGCCGAAGCGACAAACGAUAUCAGUGGAGGGGUGUCUGGCCUAAUGCUGCCAGGUCACGG